UAAGUUUGUUCUUGGUAUGAGCUUUUAUGUGCAUGCACAUGGUAUCUGAAGAAGUGUGCAUGCACAUGAAAGCUCAUACCAAGAACAUAGUUG